UUUCCCUAAGAAUCAGGGGGCAUGGGGUUUAGAGAUUUUCACUCUUUUCAUUUGGCCAUGUUGGCAAAGUAGGUGUGGCGGUUGAUAGUCAAUCCCGAGUCUCUUUGUGUUAGGAUCUUGAAGGCAAAGGAUUACCCAAACCAAGAUAUCCUUGAAGCUGGCCCCAAGAAGGGUUCGUCUUUCACAUGGCAAAGUAAAGUUGCGGGUAUUCAAACUUUUAAAAGAGGUUACAUCUGGCGUGUGGGAAGUGGCGAGUCCAUGAACAUCAGGAGAGACCCGUGGAUUCCAACCAACCCGAAUAGGAGGAUUAUCUCUAAGAGGGGGGCUGUCCUGAUUGAUAGGAUGUUAGACCUAAUCGAUCCAGGGACGGGUCAAUUGGAUGAGAAAUUGAUUCGGGACAUUUUUUUUGUGGUAGAUACUGCAUGA
rnacentral:rRNA from 1 species